CCUACGGGAGGCAGCAGUGAGGAAUAUUGGUCAAUGGGCGAGAGCCUGAACCAGCCAAGUCGCGUGAGGGAGUACUGCCCUAUGGGUUGUAAACCUCUUUUGUCGGGGAGCAAAAGCCGGACGUGUCCGGCUGUGAGAGUACCCGAAGAAAAAGCAUCGGCUAACUCCGUGCCAGCAGCCGCGGUAAUACGGAGGAUGCGAGCGUUAUCCGGAUUUAUUGGGGUUAAAGGGUGCGCAGGCGGAUUUUUAUGUCAGCGGUCAAAUCGUGGGGCUCAACCCCAUCCAGCCGGUGAAGCUGGGGAUCUAGAGUGUGCGAGAGGUAUGCGGAAUGCGUAGUGUAGCGGUGAAAUGCAUAGAUAUCACGCAGAACCCCGAUUGCGAAGGCAGCAUACCGGUGCACAACUGACGCUCAGGCACGAAAGCGUGGGUAUCGAACAGGAUUAGAUACCCCGGUAGUC
rnacentral:rRNA from 1 species